GCCUGAGAGCCCAGAACCAGCCGUUGUCCCCUGGCAAAAAGAGGCCCAGGGCUGAGCCCUGGGCAAGUGUCUCCCGACAUCGCUACCCCUCCUCCCUUUAUUAGUUUCCCUUUCCCAACAGAAACCAUUUCCUUCUGCCACCAAAACUAGGUUGCAUCCAAAAGUUUUUCACAAGCUUAAAAAAGAAAAACGAAAAAUUGACAAGUAUUACACAGAAGAGCCCACAAAAGCUUCAGCAACACCAAGGGCGAAGAAGCAGCGUCAGAUCCAGUGGAUAGUCUGAGGGUCUGGGUGAUCCUGAGCACUUAAUUAUGAAUAAUGAUAUACUUCAGUUUUGUAGUGCAUGCCAUACCAGUGGAUUCUAAUUUGGAAGGGAAACUUUUGCUCUUGCUGAAAGGAAUGUCAGUCACCGGCCUUCUUUUUCAUUGCAGGUCUGCAGGACACACCAAAGAACUCCUCCAAGUCACACAAGGGAGAAAAUUAACUUCAUUGGCUUCUAUCAGGAAAGCUAUUUUUUUUUCCUCUUCUUUCCUGCAAGUUUCCCAAACCCCAUGACUCUGAUUUCCAGGUCAGAGACUAAGGUUUUAUUUUUCUUACUCUGUAUACUUUAUAUGUGGAGAGUCCCUGAAGGAACAUUGUGAUGGGCUGAUUACUGUGAGCCAGUUGUGGGCCAGACCUGGCCUCAGGUGCUGCAAAGGGAAUUCAGUCACCCUGUGCAGUGAUCUGUGAGCCCCAAGUCAGAUACAACUUUUUCCUGAUAGACAGCACCCUCCUCCUCCCUACCAAGAAAUAGCAGGGUUGGAGGUAGUGACCCAGUAUUUAAGAGGUUUGAAAUUCUACAUGAGAUAUUUCUGAGUUAACUCCUAAAUAGCAGUUUCCUUAAUCAUGUGGAAAAUAAGAACACUUGCUAAAAAGACCAUUGGUUUAAGAGAAAUGGAAACUUAUGUCCACGUAAAAACUUGUAAAUGAAUGUUCACAGCAGCCUUUUCAUAAUAGCCAAAAAGGGAAAGCAGUCCAAAUGUCCAUCAACCAAUGAAUGGAUAAACUUAAUAUGGGAUAUACGUGUAAUGGAAUGCUAUUUGGUGAAGAAAGAAAUGAAAUGUUAAUACAUGUGUUAACAAGGAUGGACCUUAAAAUAUCAUGCUAAGUAAGAGAAGCCUGUCACAAAAGAAUAUGUAUUGUACCAUUCUACUUACAUGAAAUUCCUAGAAUAGGCAAUUCUGUAGGGACAGAAACUAGACUAGUGAUUGGCUAGAGCUUGGGGAGAGUUUGGGGAGCCUGGAGGAUGACAGCAAAGUGGUGCAGAGUUUCUUUUUAGGUUGAUUAAAUCUUGUAAAAUUAAUUGUAGUGAUGGUUGUGCAACUUUGUGAUUUUGUUAAAAACCAUUGCAUUUUGCCCUUUAAAUGGAUGAAUUGCACAAUGUGUG
rnacentral:lncRNA from 1 species